rnacentral:lncRNA from 1 species
GUUAAGUUUUCUGUAGAAAGAUCCUCAAAUCAAGGGGCUGUGGACACUUCCCCCCUUACAUAUACAGGCCUUUACUUUGAAGUUGCUUUCAGCAAAGUGUAGACUCAAUACUCAGUUCAAACACCAGGAACUCAAACCUGUGGAGGGUACGACAGGGGUGGGGAUGGGCACCCAUUGAUCUCAAUUGUUGUCAUUCACAUUUUUCAACUGCUCUUCUGUAUUCAGCUGCCCGCUCCACCAUUCUCCCUUCUGCCUCUUUCGAUAGCCAGUACUCUCAGUUGCUAAGCCUUUCUCUGUUCCUGGAGGGGCGAAUUGUGUUGAUUCCUCUCUUUGCUAACGCUUGGCUUGGAAAUGUUCUCGCUGCUAAGUCGUUUGCUUUCCUCCUUCUGUGGUCCAUUUUCCCAAAGAGUGCGUUAAGAAGUCUCUUAGUUUCAUUGAAGAUGGAAUGCAUUGCUUUUUUGUAGUUCUUCUUGUUACUGGGGGAAAUUUUUGGAAGGAGAAGGUAGCAGAAAUAUAUUUACUCUGCCAUCGUCAUAUGUGAAGUCUUCUCUAGCAGCUUUUUAGAGACUUUUCUUUAGUGUGGUGUUUUAAAAUGUGAUAACGACUUAGUAACGUAUUAGACCACAUCGCCAUGUCUCUUUUCUUUCAUAUUUUUCAGCUUUCUGCAUUUUAGCUAUCAUGCUUGAAGAAUCCCCAGUUCCUAACCAGAGAUCCUUUGGAUGGGGAGGGGUCACUGGAUGUUUUCAGUUAGAAAGAACCCCUCAGAAGUUGUGUGUGAAGUGGAGGUAUGAGGUGAAGAAGGAAGUGGUCAACAGUGCUCUCCUCACAGAUGAACAGCUAAUCGGUGCCACAGUCUCCAGACUUGCAGUUCAGUGUUUUCCCAUUGGCUGUGGCUCAUAGUGAGAUCGGUCAACGUGGAAGGAGCUGCCCAUCACUGAGCAAAGUGGAGGAUGAGUCACUUCCUGUCAACUUGCUUCUUCCAGUGAAAUAUACUCAACAUAAUUUCGAAGAAAAGGAAGAGACAGGAGGCUACCUAUCUCUAUGUCUUUGCACGGAGACCCAGAAUUACACAUCAGUGCCUCUGAACCCUCUGAUCCUGGAGUGGGGGGGGAGGGGCAGCAGGUGAUCUCAAAGAUGAAUUUUAUUUUUGUAAUUUUUCUCAAUCAGCACUAAGCAAUGUUCAGAAAUCACCAGCGAGAG